GCCGGAUUAGCUUAAUUGGUAGAGCAACUGUCUUGUAAACAGUAGGUUGACGGGUUCGAGUCCUGCAUCCGGCUCCA
rnacentral:tRNA from 1 species